rnacentral:tRNA from 1 species
GGUUGUGGCUCAGUGGUAGAAUGCAUGCCUUGCAUGUGUGAGGCACUGGGUUCGAUUCCCAUCACCA